CAGCCGCCGCGGUAAUCCGAAGGGUGCAAGCGUUAAUCGGAAUUACUGGGCGUAAAGCGUGCGUAGGCGGUGAGUUAAGUCUGCUGUGAAAUCCCCGGGCUCAACCUGGGAAUGGCAAUGGAUACUGGCAAGCUAGAGUGUGUCAGAGGAUGGUGGAAUUCCCGGUGUAGCGGUGAAAUGCGUAGAGAUCGGGAGGAACAUCAGUGGCGAAGGCGGCCAUCUGGGACAACACUGACGCUGAGGCACGAAAGCGUGGGGAGCAAACAGGAUUAGAUACCCCCGUAGUCCCUGUCUCUUAUAC
rnacentral:rRNA from 1 species